rnacentral:rRNA from 1 species
UGGAGCGUGUGGUUUAAUUCGAUGCUACGCGAAGAACCUUACCAAGGCUUGACAUGCUGGAAGUAGAAACCCGAAAGGGCAACGAACUGUUAAAUCAGUAACCUGCACAGGUGCUGCAUGGCUGUCGUCAGCUCGUGCCGUGAGGUGUUGGGUUAAGUCUCGCAACGAGCGCAACCCUCGUCGCCAGUUGUAUUUUUCUGGCAAGACUGCCCCGCAAAACGGGGAGGAAGGCGGGGAUGACGUCAAGUCAGCAUGGCCUUUAUAUCUUGGGCA